rnacentral:misc_RNA from 1 species
CAUCAAACUUGGCUUUCUUCCUUCCGUGUAGUCGGUGGAGGAUGUGCCAGAUGUGAAGUGUCUUGCGUGUUGUCCUUCGGGUCGACUGCGAGUCCUUUUAAAUGUACUGAACUGUACUUCUCUUUGCUCGAAAAGCGUGGUGUUGCUGGUUGUGGAGGCUGCCUGCGUGGCCAGUCGGCGACCGGUUUGUCUGCUGCGGCGUUUAAAGGAGGAGUGUUCGAUUCGCGGUAUGGUUGGCUUCGGCUGAACAGGCGCUUAUUGAAUGCUUUUCCUGCUGUGGCGUGAUGGGCUGGUGAACCGUAGCUGUGUUUGGCUUGGCUUUUGAAUCGGCUUUGCUGUUGCGAAGUAGGGUGGCGGCUUCGGCUGUCGAGGGUCGAUCCAUUUUGGGAACUUUGUGUGCACUUCGGUGCGCAUCUCAA